UCCAGUUCCAAGACCCAGGAAGACCACGCCUCUAAAUGUUUUGCGACCUUGUCCAUUUCAGAUUUUUCAGGGGUCCUGAGUAAACGGGUCUUGCUAAGGAUUCCGCCUCGUGUGGCCGCUCCCAUUUUUAAACCCAGACGCAUGUGUGGGAGAGGCCAUUAUUUUUACGGGAUCACUGUGCUUCUGGAGCAGCUAGGGACAAGCAGAGCUGCUUUACCGCAACGCCGGCUCCAUCCUUAGCCCGGGCUCCGCCCUUAGGCUGCCUCCCCCUCGAAGCCCCCGCCCCUCCUCCUUUGCCAACCCCCGACCAGCUCCACCCCUUUGCUCUGAGAGCCUCUAGGCCCUACCCGCAACCGGGUUCCACCCGCCCAUCUCGUGGCUCCGCCCCGGGGCCACUUGCCCCGCCCACCCCCAAAGGGCCCAGUGAGCGUGCCUGAGCGCUCCGCAGUACCCACCUCUCAGCUGAGAGCUCCGCCCCCCUGGCCCACUUAACCAAUGAGAGCCACUGAGAAUUCCAGGCCGUGCCCAUUACAUCUUCAGACCGCGCCCCUACGCCGGCCCUCUGCCGCCCUCCACCCCCGGGCGUUGCCGUGACCGCGCCUCCGUGGCCCGCGCGGAGCCAGAUGCCGCCCUCUCCGCCGGUCCCUCCCCUGGCGGCCUGGCGCCUCCUUCCCUCCCCGCCGCGGUGACUCACGGAGAGGGAGGCGGAGGCUGAGGCGGCCGCUCCCGCUGCUGCCGCUGCCGCUGCUGCCGUUGCGGCUGCUCGGGCUGUGCGCGUCCCGGAACAGGCCGCCGCGCGCCGCUCUCGGACCCGCAGCCCCCGCCCGCCUGGCCGGGUCGGGCGGCCCAGGGCCAUCUGCACUGCUUGAAGGGCUCUGCAGACCAGAGACCCAGGGUCAAAGCAGCGCCUACCUAUAG
rnacentral:lncRNA from 1 species